GUUGAAACACCAGUUCCUGUACAAUCACCACAGUUAAGCAACAUUGAACUUGGUCAGUACUUAGAUAGGUGACCACUUGGGAAUAGCAGGUGCUGUAAG